rnacentral:lncRNA from 1 species
GUAUCUAUUUUAAUAAAUGGAAAUUGCUGUGGAGAAACAAACCAUUGUACACCACUUUAAUCCUUUUCAGGGAAGCCUGAAUCCUAUUUGUGUAGCUGAGAUGUAUUACUGUCAUUUUCCCUUCAUGGAGUGGAAUAAACACACUUAAAUGAGACCUUUGUUGGUGCAGCCUCUUGUACUCUUGCCCUAAUAAGUUGUCGUGAUUUUAGGCUUUGAAAUUCACAUUGGGUAGCACUAGCAAAUUCAUCUGCAGUCCCUAGAAUUGAAAUGAUUGGGUAAACUCGGCAGUUAAGUCAACAUGUGUAUUGUAUGUGCCAAGCACUAUACCUGGGGUCCAGCCAUGAAUAAGAAUUCCAUUAAUAGAAGAAGCUUAGAGUCAUUGCCCACUGUUGGAGUGAGAGUUUACAGAUAAAUUCUCAAGGGCAAGGACAGGGGUUAGAAUGAUCCACGUGGUAAUGAAUUAAAGUUAGAGACAUCAGAAAGCACUGCUGGAUGGCUUUUAGAGGUACAUGUGAUUACACAGGGGAAUACUGAUAGGUGUGUAUUAUAUAUAUAGGCUUGCAUACAUACACAGAGUUCUUUCUGUGUCGGCUGAGACAACCUAAAAAAUGACACUCCAGUAGCCAUAGGCCCAACUCUCACCCAGACACUGAUGUCUAAAACCCAUUCUCCUAUAAUAGGAUCCAGGGAUUUCUGGAGAAAUACCUGAUUCUGGGCCUGGAGAAGGUAAUACAUGAGAUGAGGUCAGUCCCUUACAGUGCCAAAAUGUAAGGAAGUCAUCAAAAAAAGAAAUAGAUGAAAGUGUGUCAGAGGAACAUGGGAGCCCAUAGAAAGAGUUUCCAAUGGCUCAAGUGAAAUAAUUUGAGAAAAAACAAACAAAAAACAGUAGUAUUGGAUUAUAUUCCAAAGGAUAAAGUAAAUAUCCAGGAAUCUAUACUGACAUAAAUAAAAAAUUAAAUACAUUAAUAAAUGGGAGAGAAGAGGAAACCUCCCAUGCAGAAUGCCACAUCAAUUAUGCAGAUGACCCAGGCUCGAGGAGCAUAGCACAUGGGCAUAUUUCCCCACUCCUUGUGUGUGCGCUACACAUAAAGACUUCUUCUAAAGAGGAAAGCUUAGGGAAAGCGGGGAGGGGCAGGAAGAGUAACUUUACAGAGGAGAAACCCCGCAGACAUUACUUGAGCUGGUGAUCAAAACUCCCAUGAACCAUCAUAAUUCAUGUUGAUUGUAGGCACUCUUUACGGAAUACCAGGAAAGGGACAGUCUGUCAAAACUGAAUUAAACUAUGGAUUUUAGCUAAUAAUAACAUAUCGAUACUGGCUUAUUAAUUAUAACAAAUGUGCUACACUAACAUAAGAUGUUCAUAAUAGGAAAAAUUCCUCAAGAGGUAUCAGGGAAUUCUCUAGUCGAUUUGUUUAAAUUUUUCUGUAAAUCUAAAACUGUUUAAAGAGUAAGAAGCUUACCGCCUAGUGAGGGAAGCCAAUAAGCAAGUAGGCAGUUGUAAUACAAGUACAACAAAAGAGGAUGUACAGACGGGGAGAGACAAUGGGGCAUCUGACUGGUCCUGCGCAUCCUGACUUGACCACUUGGGGCAGUUGACUUGACCCUCUGAUCUGAUUUCUCGUCUCUUAAGUGGUGAUAAAACCUGCCGUGAGUCAAUAUAGACCGUGAGGUCAAACCCCCAGCUACAGAGCUGGGUGAUUUGCUAAACUCUGGGUUUUAGCUUCUCAUCAGUAAAUGGGAUAAUAAUAGUACUACCCAGAGAGUGGUCCUAAGGUCUGGGAUCACCUAUGUGAAGUGCUUAGGACAAGUCCUGGCACCCUGUGCUUGGUAAAUGCAAGCGUCCAUUGCGGCUGUUGGCUCCCAGGUUUCUGGGGAGACCUGCUGGGAUAUCAUGGAGCACAUGCCUUCCAUGUCAUAAACCCUCAGUCACCAGUGACGGGGGCAGCAGCAAGGAAAAGUUCCUGGGGGCCAGGAAGAUGCCCUUCCCUGAAUCCUACACACCAGACACAGGGGUCCUCUCUAAACCCAAACUGACAACAGGAUAGGAGUUGAUCAGAUCAAAGAAGGGUGAAGGGGGUAGGCUCUAGCAGAAGGAAGAAAGGUCCACAAGUUUUCUUCAGCUUGGCACCUUUAUGGAAACGGCGAGAGUUGAGAAUGGCUGGCGCGUGCGGUUUAAGGAGUAGGGAGGGGGGUUAAGCAGGGCCAGAAUUAUGUCGGGAAUUGAAUACUGGGAUUGAGGAUUUGGACUUCAUCCUGGGGUCGAUUUAAAAUAUGUACUCUUAGAGUCACUCUAAAUAUGGAACAGAGACCAAGGACCAGUUCGUUUGCACAGAUAAAAGAUGUUGUGGUGACUCUGGAAAUCAAGUCAAAGAAUUUGAAGUCUCACAAUAUGGCAGAUGCCAACUGUACAGUUUUAUGAAGAUCUUUUUCUGCCUCAGAAUCAAAUUUAUCAUAGUGUAUGAUGCCUGGGUAUUUUCCUAAUAAUCUGCAUAUAAUUUUUAAAAUGUAGGGUAAUAUUAAGAAUUUUAGGCAGAGAUUUUGAAAUACGUACAUAUUUCCCACCAGUAUUAUACACCAUUAUCGAUAAUUUUUAAAACCAUUAGCCAAUCAGAUUAACUCUGAAAUGCUCUACACCAGCAUCAUCCAGUAGAAAUAUAAUACCAGCCACAUAUAUAAUUUUAAUCUUCUGAUAGCCACAUUUAAAAAAUAAACAGAUGACAUUAAUUUGAGUAACAUAUUUUGUUUACCAAUAUAUUGAUAAAUUAUUAUUUCAACAUGUAAUCAAGAUAAAUUAUGAAUUAUUUAUCGUAUAUUCUUUUUCUUACCUUGUCUUCAAAGCCUGGUUGUGUAUUUUAUAAUACAGUCAGACCAGCCUCAUUUCAAGUACUCAGCAGCCCUCUGUGGGUUGUGGCUAACUUUAUUAGAUAGCUCAGAUCUACAACUUUCAAACACCUAUGUCAGAAGAUCUUUUUGGCUUUACACUUGCUGGUGAAAUCUUUUCCAAACACGUUAAUAGACAUUUCUGCCUUAAUACACGCAUGUGGGAAACAGACCACAGUGCACAUACUCAAACUGCCUGUUUCUCUCACUCAAUAAAUAGUUGCCGAAUGUCCUCUGUGGGGUAGCGAAACAGCUACUAUAUGCACACUGGCUCUGGUUUACACACUGGAGUGUGAAUUGUGAGCUGACUCCACACAAUCCUGCUCCUUCAUGGAGUGUACAAGGUUGUAAAGGAGAAAGGCAGAUGCAAAACAAAACCUGGUAAAGGAGGCAACCAUAAAUGAUAGUGUGAUGACGUUGCUCUGGUUUCUUUUGCCUUAGAAGACAGAUCCAUAAAAUAGUGCUACAGUUUACAUCAAAGAAUGUUCCGCCUAUGUUCUCUUCUAGGAGUCUUAUGAUUUCAGGUCUUACAUUUGUAUCUUUUUAUUUUAAGUUUAGUUUUUUAUACAGUGUGACGAAAUGUUCUGAUUUCAUUAAAAAAUAAAUUAAUUCAAAGAAAUAGCUGUCCAGUCUUGCCAGCACAAGUUAUUGAAGAAACUGUCUUUUUUCCAUUGUGUAUUCUUCUCUCUUUCAUUAUAGCUUAAUUGACCAUAGGUAUGCAGGUUAAUUUCUGGGCUCUUUAUCCUGUUCCAUUGAUCUAUGUGUCUGUUUUCGUACCAGCACCAUGCUGUUUUGAUACCUGUAGCUUUGUAAUAUAGUCUUAAGUCAGGGACCAUGAUUCCUCCAAGCUUUGGUUUUUGGUUUUUGUUUUUUUUCUCAGUAAUGCUCUGGCAAUUCAGGGUCUUUUGUGGUUCUACAUGAAUGGAUUAUGUGCUCUAGCUUUGUGGAAAAUGUCAUGGGUAUUUUGAUAAGGAUUGCAUUAAAUUUGUAGAUGCUUAAGAUAGCUUUUGCAUAAUAAAGGAAACCACCAACAAAAUGAAUAGGUAACUCACUGAAUGGAAGAAAAUAUUUGCAAAUGAUAUGACCCAUAAGAGGUUACUACCCAUAAUAUAUAAACAGUUUAUAUAAUUCACUCUCAGAAAACAACCCAAUUUAAAAAAGGGCAGAAGACCUGAAUAGACAUUUUUUUCUAAAGACAUGCAAAUGUCCAACAGUUAAAUAAAAAAGAUGCUCAACAUCACCAAUCUUGAAACAAAUGCAAAUCAAACUAUAAUACAGUAUAACCUCCCACCUGUCAGAAUGACUAUCAUCAAAAAGUCCACAAAAAACAAGAGGCAUCAGGGAUGCAGAGAAAAGGGAACCCUUGUACACUCUUGGUGGGAAUAUAAAUUGGGGUAGCCACUGCAGAAAACAGUAUGGCAGUUCCCCACAAAAGUAAAAUUAGAACUACCAUAUGGCCCAGCAAUCCUUCUCUUGGGUAUUUAUCUGAAAAACAAAAUAAAACAAAACCAAACCACUAAUUCAAAAAGAUAUAUGCACUCCAAUAAGCAACCUAAGUGUUUAUCAAUGAAUAAAGAAGAUGUGUAUGUAUAUACACAUACAUAUGCAUGUAUGUAUAUAUAUGUAUAUGUAUGUGUGUAUAUAUACAAAAUAAACAUUGUAAUAUUACUCAGCCAUAAAAAGAAUGAAAUUUUGUCAUUUGCAACAAUGUUCAUGGACCUAGAGAGUAUUAUGCUUAGUGAAAUAAGGCAAAGAAAGACAAAUACUCUGUUAUCACUUAUAUGUGGAAUCUAAAAAUUUAAGCAAAUGUAUUUACCAAACCAGAAACAGACUCACAGAUAAGGAGAAUGGAGGAGUGGUUACCAGUGGGAAGAGGAAAUGGGGGAGGAAAAUAGUGGCCUGGGAUUAAGAGGUACAAAUACUGUUUAAAAUAAAUAAGCAACAAGAAUAUACUGUAUACCACAGAGAAAUACAGCAUUAUUUUGUAAUAAUUUUAAAUGGAGUGUAAUGCAUAAAAUAUUGAAUCACUCUGUGUUACACCUGAAACUAAUGUAAUACUGCCAAGCAACUAUCCUUCAGUAUAAAUAAAUAAAUGCAUGCAUACAUACAUAUAGUAGAAGAAAAAAGAAAACAAAUGGGAGACUGAGAUGCUAGAUAUCCAUGGUGGAAUGGCUCUCAGUAAUCUCAGUUGAGUUGGUAUAAGCUGGAAAAUAAAGGAUGAACAUGGGUCAGCC